UUUUGCACUUGUCUCUACACACUCCUCUUUCCACUCUUUCGUCAUCAGUGAAGAACCCUAAAACUCCCGCUCGAGCUGUUGAUAUCGCGAUGGUGAGAGGUCGCUUAAGAGGCGAUGGUUGGGAAUAUGGUGAUUCCGAACAUCCUGAUUACAGUGAUACUCUUCAUUUAAUGUGUCACAAAUAGUGAAAGCUCUUCUUUCCAUAUUUAAUCGCGGUUGCUGCAGAUAGUCAUUGUCUAGUAGUAAUAGUUGUAGGCCUGCCUACAAAUGUGGUGAUUGAGAACUCUUCUUUUAUUACUUACAUGUUGCCUUGAACUGAUGAUUUGUCUUAGCAAAUGAUACUCCUUAGGCAUAAUGUUUAAGGAUCUGGUCAACUUUUUUUGCAUAUUAAUAA